rnacentral:rRNA from 1 species
AGUGAACGCUGGCGGUAGGCCUAACACAUGCAAGUCGAACGGCAGCACAGUAAGAGCUUGCUCUUACGGGUGGCGAGUGGCGGACGGGUGAGGAAUACAUCGGAAUCUACUUUUUCGUGGGGGAUAACGUAGGGAAACUUACGCUAAUACCGCAUACGACCUUCGGGUGAAAGCAGGGGAUCUUCGGACCUUGCGCGAUUGAAUGAGCCGAUGUCGGAUUAGCUAGUUGGCGGGGUAAAGGCCCACCAAGGCGACGAUCCGUAGCUGGUCUGAGAGGAUGAUCAGCCACACUGGAACUGAGACACGGUCCAGACUCCUACGGGAGGCAGCAGUGGGGAAUAUUGGACAAUGGGCGCAAGCCUGAUCCAGCCAUACCGCGUGGGUGAAGAAGGCCUUCGGGUUGUAAAGCCCCUUUGUUGGGAAAGAAAAGCAGCAGGUUAAUACCCCGCUGUUCUGACGGUACCCAAAGAAUAAGCACCGGCUAACUUCGUG